UACGGCGGGGGCUAGCGUUGUUCGGAAUUACUGGGCGUAAAGCGCGCGUAGGCGGACCUGCAAGUCGGGGGUGAAAGCCCGAGGCUCAACCUCGGAACUGCCUUCGAUACUGCGGGUCUCGAGUCCGGGAGAGGUGAGUGGAAUUCCCAGUGUAGAGGUGAAAUUCGUAGAUAUUAGGAAGAACACUAGUGGCGAAGGCGGCUCACUGGCCCGGUACUGACGCUGAGGCGAGGAAGCGUGGGGAGCAAACAGG
rnacentral:rRNA from 1 species